CCUAAGGGGCUCGAGUGAUUUACGGAAAAGGAACUCGGCAAAAUGACCCCGUAACUUCGGGAUAAGGGGUGCCAGUAGUAGCUGACCUAAUCAAGGGAAGGCGAGGCUGGCCGCAGAGAAUCGUCUCAAGCGACUGUUUAGCAAAAACACAGGAGCGUGCUAAGGCAUUGUCCAAGCCUACGUAUACGCUCUGACUCCUGCCCGGUGCCGGAAGGUUAGGGCAAGUCGUCAGCCGCAAGGCGAAGCGAUGAACCGAAGCCCCGGUAAACGGCGGCCGUAACAAUAACGGUCCUAAGGUAGCGAAAUUCCUUGUCGGGUAAGUUCCGACCUGCACGAAUGGAGUAACGACUUGAGAGCUGUCUCUUCCGUAAGCUCGGCGAAAUAGAAGCAUCGGUGAGGAUUCCGAUUACCCGCGACAGGACAAAAAGACCCCAUGCACCUUUACUACAACCUGUCAUUGAUUGUCGGUAUGCGCUGCGUAGCAUAGGUGGGAGCCAUUGAGACCGCGGUUUUUGGCUGCGGUGGAGGCACCAGUGAAAUACCACCCUUCGUUUACUAACAAUCUCACUCAGCCGGCAACACCGGCGAGGACCGUGGCAGGCGGGUAGUUUGACUGGGGCGGUCGCCUCCUAAAGAGUACCGGAGGCGCGCAAUGGUUGGCUCAGUGCGGUCGGUAAUCGCACGUGGAGUGUAUACGCAAAAGCCAGCCUGACUGCGAGCGCUACAGCGCGAGCAGGGACGAAAGCCGGUGUAAGUGAUCCGGCGGGACCGUGUGGACGGCCCGUCGCUCAUCGGAUAAAAGGUACGCUGGGGAUAACAGGCUUAUCGCGCCCGAGAUUUCACAUCGACGGCGCGGUUUGGCACCUCGAUGUCGGCUUGUCACAUCCUGGGGCUGGAGAAGGUCCCAAGGGUCCGGCUGUUCGCCGGUUAAAGUGGCACAUGAGCUGGGUUCAGAACGUCGUGAGACAGUUCGGUCUGUAUCCGUCGUGGGCGUGGGAGUGUUGAGGGACGUCGACCUUAGUACGAGAGGACCGGGUCGAAGCGACCGCUCGUGUACGGGCUGUUCCGCCAGGGGCAGCGCCCGGUAGCGAUGUCGCGCGAAGAUAACCGCUGAAAGCAUCUAAGUGGGAAACUUUUCCCAAGAUGAACACUCCUGGAUCUUAAGAUCCCUGUAGGGCCGUAGGAGACUACUACGUUGAUAGGCGGCAGAUGCACGGCACGUAAGUGCUUUAGUCGAGCCGUACUAAUCGCCCGUGAAGUUUGAUCUC
rnacentral:rRNA from 1 species